GACGAACCGUGCGAACGUUAUUCGGAAUCAUUGGGCUUAAAGGGCGCGUAGGCUGCGGCGUAAGUUGGAAGUGAAAUCCCAUCGGCUCAACCGUGGAAUUGCUCCCAGUACUGCGUCGCUCGAGGGGGAUAGGGGUCUGCGGAACUACCGGUGGAGCGGUGAAAUGUGUUGAUAUCGGUGGGAACGCCAGUGGCGAAAGCGGCAGACUGGACCCUUCCUGACGCUGAUGCGCGAAAGCUAGGGGAGCAAACGGG
rnacentral:rRNA from 1 species